rnacentral:lncRNA from 1 species
GUGUCUGGGCGCGUCUUUACGCUACGCCCGCAGCAUCCAGCGACCUCUACAGGCGCACCUGGGGCCCGCCGCGACCGGAAGGAGCGAUAGGUGGAUGCGCCACUUCUAGCGACACAGGAGCUGCACAUGAUGAACGACAGAAAGGAUAUAACUCACGUGUCUGCAACCUACCCUUGAAGAUUUUCGAGUGACCACUUGACAGCAUGGUACUAGCCCCACGACUUCAUUAACGAUGAAGGCAGUGUGAUUGGAUACCAGAAUGACAUGAACACGCGAGACUAUCUGGAUAUGGCUUGGACGCCUACAAGUAAUUGCUGUCGUCGAGUGUGGCGAGCGUUAAGAAAACGACAGCCUGCAACAGGAAACAAGCUGCAGCAGCUAUCACGACGCACAAGGACUCCGAUCGCAUGGAUACCAGAGAGAAGAAUUCUCGUGCAACCUGGUGAAUGCUGAAGUUUACAAGCGGACUUCUAUCACAGCGACCUACGCAGGCUCUGUUCGCAAAUAUACAGCUUCCCUUUAACAAGCAUUCUUAUUUUGAACACAAGCCUGUGAUAAUAUUUUUAAUAUGUAAUACUUUCAUUUAUUUAGUAUCAACACAGUGCAAAACUGGAUAUAUUUUGUGGUGAUACUUAACCAAAAGCGCCUUAUGUAUGUUACU